GAAAUACUCGUCGCGCUGGUCAAUUUGCAAAAACACCCACCCCUUUAUUCCGACACAACCCGCGAUCCUCGCCGCUGCUCUCGCCCCCUCCCGUGACUCUGCUUGCUCCGCCGCGCCAUCGUCGGCCUCCGUGCAGCUCGCCCGCGCCUUCCUCCCGCUCCCUCCUCCCUGCGUAGCUCCUCCGCCCCCUUCUCUACGCAGCUCGCCCGCUCCCUCCUCCGGCUUACUCCUCUGCGUAGCUCCCCCUCUCACUCCAUUGGGAAAAAUGGCAUCUUUCUCCUCUGCAGAACACAGCGCCGCCUAGCACUUCGCCAUGGACGCGCUCAGCUUCGUGGUACCGCGGAUCCUCCUCUUCGCUGUCACCCACGGCUCCGGGGUGUUCAUAGUGCCCUGCCGCAUCCCGCAAGGGCUCCGGGGUGGCUGGAGAUCUGUGGCGGUGGAGGGGAUCGUGCUGUCACCUCGCCGGACGGCUACAAGAAGGUCACCAUAUGAAGACCGCCUUCUUCAUCACCGCUCUAGGAACUCAGUUAACAACAUGUUAUUGGAACUACUCCAAGAACAGAACAGAAUGGCAUGUUAAUGUCAGUUAACAACAUGUUAUUACUUCCAAGAACAAAACAGCAAAACAAAAGGUUUUGAUUUGCUUGCAGAUUUGUGAGUGUGAUCUUCAGAGUGUGAUUUGACAGUCUUCAGAGUGUGAUCACCAUUUCCUUGAUGAACACAACAGAGAGGAACCAGUUGACAGGAACAUCAAAGGAUCAAGAGGACAGUAGCCGCUGCCCGCUGCGUCGAGAGGAUCAAUAGGAGCAGCAGAUUAAUCACAGUUCAAAUCGCUCCAGCCUUGUGGUAUUUAGAGCACAAAUUCACGCCAAGAGGAGCAGAUGAUCAAUUCGAGUUGUCGGAGCUAUGAACGCCGGAGCAGCGGCGAAGGGUAAGGGAGCUGCGGACGCGGAGCAGCGGCAGAGGGUUAAGGAGCUGCGGACGGCGGAGCAGCGGCGGACCUUGGGCUCUCGAUUGGAGCGGAGGGUGGCGCCGGCGAGGGACCUGCGGCCGGCGGGGAAGGAUGUCGAUGUUGCGGCGGAGGGUGAGGGAGCUGCGGACGGCGGAGCAGCGCAGCAACGGCAGACCUCGGUGACGGAGCUCUCAAUUGGAGUGGAGGCAGGCAGCCGGCGGGGAAGGACAACGGCGCUGCGGCGGAGGGAGACAGAGCUGCGGAUGGCGGAGCAGCGCAGCAACAGCCGAAAUCAGGCUCUUGAUUGGGGCGGAGGUAGGCGGCCGGCGGGGAAGGACGGCGGAGCAGCGAAGGAGCUUCCAAGCCACGGGACGAGGGCCAGGAUGGAGAAGAUUCAAAACCGGGAGGACCUUUUUGCAAAAUGUUAUUUCUAUAGCGCUCGCGACAAGUAAUUGGAACCGGAGGGAGUACGUAACAAUUUAUGUUAUUCAUACAAAGAGGAACUGGAAUUUACCGCAUAAUGUAGUGCAUCAUUUCCUUUAUACGUUGGAUGAGAAGAUGCAUCUUUUUGUUCCUGGUGGUUGUGAAAACUUAUUUACUUGG